GAUGAAGAACGUAGCGAAAUGCGAUAAGUAAUGUGAAUUGCAGAAUUCAGUGAAUCAUCGAAUCUUUGAACGCACAUUGCGCCCGCCAGUAUUCUGGCGGGCAUGCCUGUUCGAGCGUCAUUACAACCCUCAGGCCCCCGGGCCUGGCGUUGGGGAUCGGCGGAAGCCCCCUGCGGGCACAACGCCGUCCCCCAAAUACAGUGGCGGUCCCGCCGCAGCUUCCAUUGCGUAGUAACUAACACCUCGCAACUGGAGAGCGGCGCGGCCACGCCGUAAAACACCCAACUUCUGAAUGUUGACCUCGAAUCAGGUAGGAAUACCCGCUGAACUUAAGCAUAUCAAUAAGCGGAGGA
rnacentral:misc_RNA from 1 species